rnacentral:piRNA from 1 species
UGGUAGAAAGUCACCUGGAUUUGCCAUGU